rnacentral:rRNA from 1 species
CGAAAGGCGUAGUCGAUGGGAAAUCGGUUAAUAUUCCGAUACUUGUUUAUGAUGCGAUGGAGGGACGGAGAAGGUUAUGCCAGCUUGGCGAUGGUUGUCCAAGUGGAAGGAUGUAGUUAGGUUUAGUAGGCAAAUCCGCUAGACUAUUAAUGAGAUCUGAUAGCAAGCUGUACUUGUACAGCGAAGUGGCAAAUACCCUGCUUCCAGGAAAAGCUUCUAAGCGAUAGUCAUAAAGAAAUCGUACCCGAAACCGACACAGGUGGUCAGGUAGAGAAUACCAAGGCGCUUGAGAGAACUCUGCUGAAGGAACUAGGCAAAAUGGUACCGUAACUUCGGGAGAAGGUACGCUGCCGAUGGUGAGUAGACAUGCUCUACAAAGCUAUUGGCAGUCGCAGAUACCAGGCCGCUGCAACUGUUUAUUAAAAACACAGCACUCUGCAAACACGAAAGUGGACGUAUAGGGUGUGAUGCCUGCCCGGUGCUGGAAGGUUAAUUGAUGGGGUUAGCGUAAGCGAAGCUCUUGAUCGAAGCCCC